GAUGAACGCUGGCGGCGUGCUUAACACAUGCAAGUCGAACGGAAAGGCCCAAGCUUGCUUGGGUACUCGAGUGGCGAACGGGUGAGUAACACGUGGGUGAUCUGCCCUGCACUUCGGGAUAAGCCUGGGAAACUGGGUCUAAUACCGGAUAGGACCACUUCUUGGAUGUUGUGGUGGAAAGUUUUUUCGGUGUGGGAUGAGCUCGCGGCCUAUCAGCUUGUUGGUGGGGUAAUGGCCUACCAAGGCGUCGACGGGUAGCCGGCCUGAGAGGGUGUACGGCCACAGUGGGACUGAGAUACGGCACAGACUCCUACGGGAGGCAGCAGUGGGGAAUAGUGCACAAGGGGCGCAAGCCUGAUGCAGCGACGCCGCGUGGGGGAUGACGGCCUUCGGGUUGUAAACUCCUUUCGCUAGGGACGAAGCGUUUUGUGACGGUACCUGGAGAAGAAGCACCGGCUAACUACGUG
rnacentral:rRNA from 1 species